AACAAUUCGUAAAAAUAAGAAUGGUUGGAUCAUUUAUAUUCCGAAAAAUAAUCUGAAUAAGUUUACAAGUAUCGUGAAGAAAUAUUUGUUACCAGAUUUUUUAUAUAAACUGGAACCUUAUUCAACAAGAUCUUAAACCCCGUAGAGACUAUACGCCAAAUUCCAAUCGAAAGGUUGGAAAAUGAUAUAGUCCGAACUUUAUGGCAACAUAAAGAAUUGAACAGAAAUGUUUCAAUCUUCCGAUUUUAUUAUCGGAAUGUAACAGAAUUGUAGAGACCCCUGUAGUUCUAGCCGUAAACUAUGCUCGCUAGUCCUGCCCGUCUGACGGGUGGGGCGCAAGCUAACGCGUUAAGCGAGCCGCCUGGGGAGUACGAACGCAAGUUUAAAACUCAAAGGAAUUGACGGGGACCUGCACAACCAGUGGAGCAUGUGGUUUAAUUCGAGACGAACCGAAAAACCUUACCCGGGUUUGACAUUCCGGUGACGUCCUCAGAAAUGAGGAGUUUCUCUUUCGUAAGAUUGAGGACACCGGAACAGGUGUUGCAUGGCCGUCGUAAGCUCGUGUCGUGGGAUGUUCCCUUCAGUGGGGUAACGAGCGCAACCCCUGCCAUAUGUUGAAUAUUCAUAUGGGACUUUCUGAACUUGUUUCAGAAGGAAGUGGGGAUGACGUCAGGUCAGCAUGGCCCUUAUGUCCGGGGCAACACACAUACUACAAUGGAGCCUAACAAUGGGUUGCCAAGCCGCAAGGCGGAGCUAAUCCCAGCAAACGGCUUCUUAAGUGGGGAUUGAAGGCUGCAACUCGCCUUCAUGAACGUGGAAUUGGUAGUAAUCGCGGAUCAGCAUGCCGCGGUGAAUACGUUCUCAGGUCUUGUACACACCGCCCGUCAAGUUAGUGAAGUUGGGGGCACCCGAAUGUCCAUUGUAUGGGCAGAAGGUGACACCAGCGACAAGAAUUAAGUCGUAAAUUUGUUGCGACUCCGAGAAGUAAUUUUCG
rnacentral:rRNA from 2 species